rnacentral:rRNA from 1 species
GACGAACGCUGGCGGCGCGCUUAACACAUGCAAGUCGAGCGAUGAAAUUUUGACAGAUCCCUUCGGGGUGAAGACAAAAUGGAUUAGCGGCGGACGGGUGAGUAACACGUGAGUAACCUGCCUUAGACAUUGGGAUAGCCUCGGGAAACCGGGAUUAAUACCAAAUAAAAUCAUAGGUGCACAUGCACUAAUGAUCAAAACUCCGGUGGUCUAAGAUGGACUCGCGUCCCAUUAGCUAGUUGGUAGGGUAACGGCCUACCAAGGCGACGAUGGGUAGCCGGCCUGAGAGGGUGAACGGCCACAUUGGAACUGAGAAACGGUCCAAACUCCUACGGGAGGCAGCAGUGGGGAAUAUUGCACAAUGGAGGGAACUCUGAUGCAGCGACGCCGCGUGAACGAAGAAGGCUUUCGAGUCGUAAAGUUCUUUUAUAUGGGAAGAUAAUGACGGUACCAUAAGAAAAAGCCCCGGCUAACUACGUGCCAGCAGCCGCGGUAAUACGUAGGGGGCUAGCGUUGUCCGGAAUCACUGGGCGUAAAGGGUUCGCAGGCGGAAAUGCAAGUCAGGUGUAAAAGGCAGUAGCUUAACUACUGUAAGCAUUUGAAACUGCAUAUCUUGAGAAGAGUAGAGGUAAGUGGAAUUUUUAGUGUAGCGGUGAAAUGCGUAGAUAUUAAAAAGAAUACCGGUGGCGAAGGCGACUUACUGGGCUCAUUCUGACGCUGAGGAACGAAAGCGUGGGUAGCAAACAG